rnacentral:tRNA from 1 species
UCUCUGGUAGUGUAUCGGUUAGUACAUGCACCUGUCAUAUGCAAAGUAGGUGUUUUGACUUCGUGCGAAAGCUGGGUUCGACUCCCAGCCAGAGAG